GUGCCAGCAGCCGCGGUAAUACCGGCAGCCCGAGUGAUGGCCGAUCUUAUUGGGCCUAAAGCGUCCGUAGCUGGGUCUGAAAGUCCGUCGGGAAAUCCACCUGCUCAACAGGUGGGCGCCCGGUGGAAACUGUGCAGCUUGGGACCGGAAGGCGCGACGGGUACGUCCGGGGUAGGAGUGAAAUCCCGUAAUCCUGGACGGACCGCCGAUGGCGAAAGCACGUCGCGAGAACGGAUCCGACAGUGAGGGACGAAAGCCAGGGUCUCGAACCGGAUUAGAAACCCCAGUUAGUCC
rnacentral:rRNA from 1 species